UACGAAGGGUGCAAGCGUUACUCGGAAUUACUGGGCGUAAAGCGCACGUAGGCGGUCCGUUAAGUCGGAUGUGAAAGCCCCCGGCUCAACCGGGGAAGUGCAUCCGAAACUGGCGGGCUAGAGUACGAAAGAGGGUCGCGGAAUUCCCGGUGUAGAGGUGAAAUUCGUAGAUAUCGGGAGGAACACCGGUGGCGAAGGCGGCAACCUGGGUCGAUACUGACGCUGAGGUGCGAAAGCGUGGGGAGCAAACAGG
rnacentral:rRNA from 1 species